GAUCCUGGCUCAGAUUGAACGCUGGCGGCAGGCCUAACACAUGCAAGUCGAACGGUAACAGGAAGAAGCUUGCUUCUUUGCUGACGAGUGGCGGACGGGUGAGUAAUGUCUGGGAAACUGCCUGAUGGAGGGGGAUAACUACUGGAAACGGUAGCUAAUACCGCAUAACGUCGCAAGACCAAAGAGGGGGACCGUCGGUCGUCUUCGUCCACUCGAGUGUGUCCGACCGACUGGGAGUUAGUCUAGUAGGUAGGGGUAACGGGG
rnacentral:rRNA from 1 species